GCUGGGGAAUAUAUAGCUCAGUUGGUAGAGUGUUUGCCUCCCGUGUAUAAGUCCCUGGGUUCAAUCCCCAGCCCCCAGCA